AGCAGUAGCCACGGUAAUACGUAGGUGGCAAGCGUUGCCCGGAUUUAUUGGGCGUAAAGCGAGCGCAGGCGGUUCCUUAAGUCUGAUGUGAAAGCCCCCGGCUCAACCGGGGAGGGUCAUUGGAAACUGGGGAACUUGAGUGCAGAAGAGGAGAGUGGAAUUCCAUGUGUAGCGGUGAAAUGCGUAGAUAUAUGGAGGAACACCAGUGGCGAAGGCGACUCUCUGGUCUGUAACUGACGCUGAGGCUCGAAAGCGUGGGUAGCAAACAGGAUUAGAUACCCGUGUAGUCCCUGUCUCUUAUAC
rnacentral:rRNA from 1 species